rnacentral:rRNA from 1 species
UACGAAGGGGGCUAGCGUUGUUCGGAAUUACUGGGCGUAAAGCGCACGUAGGCGGAUAUUUAAGUCAGGGGUGAAAUCCCGCAGCUCAACUGCGGAACUGCCUUUGAUACUGGGUAUCUUGAGUAUGGAAGAGGUAAGUGGAAUUGCGAGUGUAGAGGUGAAAUUCGUAGAUAUUCGCAGGAACACCAGUGGCGAAGGCGGCUUACUGGUCCAUUACUGACGCUGAGGUGCGAAAGCGUGGGGAGCAAACAGGAUUAGAAACCCCCGUAGUCC